CUCUCCUCAGGUCCGGUCAGCUCCCUUCUCCUCCACUGUAAGUCUCGCGGCCGCGCGGAGCGUUCCCUGCGGCUCUCGCGAGUCUUACAGUGGAGCUGACCGGAACGGAGGAGAAAGAAGGGAGAUGACAGGAGCUGCAGGAAAGGUAAGUAACAGCUCUCUGCCAGCCCCCAACAGGACCGCCGGGCUUGUAAUGAGCCCGGC